rnacentral:rRNA from 1 species
GAAACGCUGGCGGCGUGCUUAACACAUGCAAGUCGAACGGUGAAGCCCAGCUUGCUGGGUGGAUCAGUGGCGAACGGGUGAGUAACACGUGAGCAACCUGCCCUCCACUUCGGGAUAAGCCCUGGAAACGGGGUCUAAUACCGGAUAUGAGCACCUGACGCAUGUCGGGUGUUGGAAAGUUUUUCGGUGGGGGAUGGGCUCGCGGCCUAUCAGCUUGUUGGUGGGGUAAUGGCCUACCAAGGCGUCGACGGGUAGCCGGCCUGAGAGGGCGACCGGCCACACUGGGACUGAGACACGGCCCAGACUCCUACGGGAGGCAGCAGUGGGGAAUAUUGCACAAUGGGCGAAAGCCUGAUGCAGCGACGCCGCGUGAGGGAUGACGGCCUUCGGGUUGUAAACCUCUUUCAGCAGGGAAGAAGGCCUUCGGGUGGACGGUACCUGCAGAAGAAGCGCCGGCUAACUACGUGCCAGCAGCCGCGGUAAUACGUAGGGCGCAAGCGUUGUCCGGAAUUAUUGGGCGUAAAGAGCUCGUAGGCGGUUUGUCGCGUCUGGUGUGAAAACCUCAGGCUCAACCUGGGGCGUGCAUCGGGUACGGGCAGACUAGAGUGCGGUAGGGGAGACUGGAAUUCCUGGUGUAGCGGUGGAAUGCGCAGAUAUCAGGAGGAACACCGAUGGCGAAGGCAGGUCUCUGGGCCGCAACUGACGCUGAGGAGCGAAAGCAUGGGGAGCGAACAGGAUUAGAUACCCUGGUAGUCCAUGCCGUAAACGUUGGGCACUAGGUGUGGGGCAUCAUUCCACGAGUUCCGUGCCGCAGCUAACGCAUUAAGUGCCCCGCCUGGGGAGUACGGCCGCAAGGCUAAAACUCAAAGGAAUUGACGGGGGCCCGCACAAGCGGCGGAGCAUGCGGAUUAAUUCGAUGCAACGCGAAGAACCUUACCAAGGCUUGACAUGCACCGGACGCUGCCAGAGAUGGUGGUUCCGCAAGGUCGGUGCACAGGUGGUGCAUGGUUGUCGUCAGCUCGUGGUUGUGAAAUGUAG